rnacentral:rRNA from 1 species
GNGCGCAGCCUGAUGCANCCUGCCNCGUGUGUGAAGAAGGCCUUCGGGUUGUAAAGCACUUUCAGUCGUGAGGAAGGUAGUGUAGUUAAUAGCUGCAUUAUUUGACGUUAGCGACAGAAGAAGCACCGGCUAACUCCGUGCAGCCGCGGUAAUACGGAGGGUGCUGAGCGUUAAUCGGAAUUACUGGGCGUAAAGCGCAAUGCAGGUGGUUUGUUAAGUCAGAUGUGAAAGCCCGGGGCUCAACCUCGGAAUUGCAUUUGAAACUGGCAGACUAGAGUACUGUAGAGGGGGGUAGAAUUUCAGGUGUAGCGGUGAAAUGCGUAGAGAUCUGAAGGAAUACCGGUGGCGAAGGCGGCCCCCUGGACAGAUACUUGACACUCAGAUGCGAAAGCGUGGGGAGCAAACAGGAUUAGAUACCCUGGUAGUCCACGCCGUAAACGAUGUCUACUUGGAGGUUGUGAGCCUUGAGCCGUGGCUUUCGGAGCUAACGCGUUAAGUAGACCGCCUGGGGAGUACGGUCGCAAGAUUAAAACUCAAAUGAAUUGACGGGGGCCCGCACAAGCGGUGGAGCAUGUGGUUUAAUUCGAUGCAACGCGAAGAACCUUACCUACUCUUGACAUCCAGAGGUCUUUUCAUAANGCNGUGGCAG